rnacentral:rRNA from 1 species
UACGUAGGGCGCAAGCGUUGUCCGGAAUUAUUGGGCGUAAAGAGCUCGUAGGCGGCUUGUCACGUCGGGUGUGAAAGACCGGGGCUUAACCCCGGUUCUGCAUUCGAUACGGGCUGGCUAGAGUGUGGUAGGGGAGAUCGGAAUUCCUGGUGUAGCGGUGAAAUGCGCAGAUAUCAGGAGGAACACCGGUGGCGAAGGCGGAUCUCUGGGCCAUUACUGACGCUGAGGCGCGAAAGCUAGGGGAGCAAACGGG